AAGUCGUAACAAGGUUUCCGUAGGUGAACCUGCGGAAGGAUCAUUACAAAUAUAUGGUUAACGCCAACAUUUCAUGUGCAACUUAUUGACGCUGCCAGAAUUUCGAAAAGUUUUUGGAUUUUUCGAUGCCUGGCAGCAAAACCGACCGCUUGAAUCAAUAAUGUACUUUAGUGAUUUAAUGCAUGAUACAAGCGGUCAGCGGGUAAUGCAUGAUACAAGCGGUCAGCGGGCCUCUCGUUGUUGUUCUCGGAUAACAAUUGAUGUCCGUCUUUUACAACAUUAUAACAUCAGUCUUAUUUAUCCAUCAUCAGACAGUAGCAAUUCAGCGAAAUGUGAUGACAUAAAAGGGUUAAAAACUUUUAGCAACGGAUCUCUAGGCUCUC
rnacentral:misc_RNA from 1 species